ACCAGCCACGCCACAAGGGGCAUCGACAGCGCCGUCGCCAAGGUGCUGCAGGGCUACGACUGGUCCCUCGUGCCCAUCGCCAACAAGGGAACGUCGGACAAGCGCAAGCUGCACGUGAAGCGGCCGAUGAACGCGUUCAUGGUGUGGGCGCAGGCGGCGAGGCGCAAGUUGGCCGAGCAGUACCCGCAGCUGCACAACGCCGAGCUCAGCAAGACGCUGGGGAAGCUCUGGAGGCUCCUGAGCGACGACGACAAGCGGCCGUUCGUGGAGGAGGCGGAGCGCCUGCGCAUGAUCCACAAGAGGGACCACCCCGACUACAAGUACCAGCCGCGCCGGCGCAAGGGCGGGG